rnacentral:rRNA from 1 species
UACGGGGGGGGGGUAAGCGUUGUUCGGAAUUACUGGGCGUAAAGGGCUCGUAGGCGGCCAACUAAGUCAUACGUGAAAUCCCUCAGCUUAACUGGGGAACUGCGUCUGAUACUGGAUGGCUUGGAUUCGGGAGAGGAAUGCGGAAUUCCAGGUGUAGCGGUGAAAUGCGUAGAUAUCAGGAGGAACACCGGUGGCGAAGGCGCACAUCUGGCCCGAUACUGACGCUGAGGCGCGAAAGCUAGGGGAGCAAAGCGGG